ACGGUGAAGCCCUUCGGGGUGGAUCAGUGGCGAACGGGUGAGUAACACGUGGGUAAUCUGCCCUGCAUUCUGGGACAAGCCUUGGAAACGAGGUCUAAUACCGGAUACGACGCAUCUCCGCAUGGGGUGUGCGUGGAAAGCUCCGGCGAUGCAGGAUGAACCCGCGGCCUAUCAGCUUGUUGGUGGGGUGAUGGCCUACCAAGGCGACGACGGGUAGCCGGCCUGAGAGGGCGACCGGCCACACUGGGACUGAGACACGGCCCAGACUCCUACGGGAGGCAGCAGUGGGGAAUAUUGCACAAUGGGCGAAAGCCUGAUGCAGCGACGCCGCGUGAGGGAUGACGGCCUUCGGGUUGUAAACCUCUUUC
rnacentral:rRNA from 1 species